rnacentral:tRNA from 1 species
GAUUAAAUGGCUGAUAAUAGGUAAUAAAUUGUAAAUUUAUUUAUGAAUAAGUAUAUAUAUUCUUUAAUCA